ACACACCAGUGGUUGGAUGAGGUGCCUAGGAAGAGUAAUCUCCUCCUGUUUGAGAAUAGGGCAAACUGGCGCCGGGAUAAUGUAACAAACUGAGACUAAAUCAAAAUUCCAAUCACCUGUAAGAUGUUCAUUACUUUUGAACUGAAAUUCUUAACGUUGAAUGGUCCAAAUUACAACAUUUCUUUCUCCAUCGUGUAAAAACGCUAUUAAGGAAGUUAGCUCGCGAGCUUUUGAGCCAGACUGCCGUUGAUGCUACAACUAAGUAUUUACUGGUUAAUACUGAUCCCAUUAGUGCAAAUAUAUUACACAUGUAUUACUGAACCCAAUCCAGUUGGAAAAAAAGUGUGUCAAUUCAAAUUUUGAAAAGGUUUUGCAGGGACUAUAUUAUGUGGCGGAAGGAUUGAUUAAUCAAAAAAUUCUAACUCUGCGUGAUAUCUCAGUUUCGUUUCAUUCAAUAUAUCUUUUAUUUUCAUACUCCUAUACAUGUAUUUCAGUUUUAUAAUUUAUGAUAGAGGUAGUUCAGACUUGGAACUUGGAAAUGUUGUAAUUUAUUAAUUUGGUUGAUAUAUUUUUCCAAACAGAACACUGAUGUCCCGCCCCUAAGGCCCCAGGAUUGCAGGAAUCCUGAAAUUUAUAAUUGAAGUAUCUCCUGUUCCAAAGAUGCUUCAUACCAAACCUGUGAUUCUUAUAAAAGUUUAGAUUAAUUCAUUGGACAUUUUGUAUAAAAGUGCAUUGUUUCUGCCGAUAAUUUAAAAACUUAGUCUCCAACCCCCACUUUUUGAAAUUCUAUUUAAAAAUUGACAUUACUCCUAAUACGUCCUUUUGAAUUCUCAAAGAUAACAUGAAUUUUUGCCGUAUAUUAAGUGCGAAAAGGUCAUUACUUAUUUCCAUUAUUACUAUUAAAUUUCUUUUUAUCUGUAGUGUUAGAAGACAUGAUUAUAUAUCUAUUUUAUGUAAUUAUUGAUUUGUGUUGUGUUGACGUCAAAAGACAAAUCAAGUUUAAUUGAAUAAAUCUUAAGUGCAAAAAGAUCAUUUGCUCAAUAACAAGCGUUGCGACCCUAGUUUUUCUUUUUAAUUUCCUAAUCCUCUUUCAAUGUAGAAAUCAAAAAUACAUCCACCCACCCCACCCCCCAAAAAUGACAUUACUCCAAAUCUCAGGUGCGAACCUCUUUAAAUCAUCGCACGUAUGUAUUUAUGAGGCGGUUUGAAAUACCAUAAAUUAUUUCACCUGUUGUAACCAGUUAUUUGAUUUUAAAUCGAUGUUACAAACAACCGCGUCACUCUGCCGUUUCAAGUGACAGUCACGUGGCCAGUUCAAACUUUCACAUCAUAAGUGGUCUUAUUGCUAUUUUUUACAACAGUACUGUGCCAUAAGAUUAUUAGAAUUAAAAAUAUGAAAGACCUCUUAGUAUUUUUUUUUAAUUUCUAAUAAACGUAUCAAAUACCUCUUAAAUCCCAUGAGGAUCCGGGUUAGAAUAAACAUUUCAAAAAAAAAAAAUUGUUUCAUUACUUACCAAAUAUUUAAUUGUACGCAUAGUCAUAUUUUAGGAUGUGUCCACGAGGUCGGGUGAGUAUUGUUCAUUUUAUUAAUUUUAUUAUUAUUUCGUGAUUUCUAUUUUGUAUUGAUAUGUGUCGUUAUCGUCGCCUUUCAUUGUUCAUUUUAUUAUUAGACUCUUACUUUUUUCAAAUGUGUGUUGUUUUUUUGCGCAAUAUCAAUUUUGUACAAUGAAAGGUGAAGUUAACAAACAUUGAACAAUUUCAUAACUCCCUAUAAGGAAUACAAAAUUAAGAGUUGGGUAAACACGGAUUCCUGGACAUACCAUAUAUCUAAUCAUUCAUUUUCAUAGGUCUUAAAAUGAUUAUUUUAGGAUAGAUUGAUUGAAUCUGGAAGCUUUUCUAAAAAGAAACAUCUUAUAUGACAGUUAGAAUUGGAUUUCAUUUUAAUGAGGUGUAUGGAUUACAGUCAAUAUGUUGCAUCUAUUAACGUUUGUUUGUGUACUCCAAUCUGAUCACCACUUACACACCAGAGAAAAGUGUUCACUUCGGAUCAAUUUCCAACAUGAAGGUCUGCAUUGUAUUUCUUGUGCUGUCAUUAUGUUGCGUGACCCUUGGGGUGGACCCCGGAGACUGGGCGUAUUUCUAUCUCAACACCGCAUGUUCCAUGAUGAAAAAGGCCAAGUCAAAUUUCUUCACUGGUGAUGCCAAGGUGAUUGCCUUCCAGGCUAGAGCAAGCAAACGUCUUGUAAAUAUUCCCAAACAUCACGUUGUUAAGUUUGGACAUGUCAUAACAAAUAAAGGGAACGGAUACAGAGCAAGAACUGGAAAAUUCUCACUGCACCGAUAGAAGGCGUGUAUUUCUUUGACUGGACCAUCACUGUCGACAACGGAGACACCUUCAAUACAGAACUCGUAAAAAAUAAUGCUGUAUUUGGCAAUAGUUACUGUGGAGCCCGAGGUUCUAACUACGCAAAGCCUUGCACAACGACUGCACGAAUACAGAUGAGGAAAGGAGACACAGUUUGGAUAGGGGGUUCGUGAUCAUCGGAAGAAUGCCCACGCUUUGUGGUCGACAUUUGGAGGUCAUAAGUUGUAAAAAGAAAACCGCGACAAUAAAAUGGAUUCAAACACA